GGUCACUUCUAUACCCAUUCCUAGCAUGGUGAAGCUGGGAACAUCCAAGAACAGCAAGCACUCAAAACUGCCGAACCACCACUCCCACCUUCUGGAAAUAGAACUCUCCACAGGAACCCUUGCAUGAGUUAGAAAAUCAUUUUGCAUUGUGCUGCUAGGCCUGCAAGGUGCCCACCAUGGAGCACGGCUCACCUCUCUUGGAUGAAGCCCAGAGAGCCCUCGGUGCACAGACCGUAGGAAAUCACCCAGCUGAAGAGCUCAUUUUCUUUCAGGAUCAGUGUUGGAAGCUGCUGCGAUUCAAACGAGCAAAUGUUAGCUUCGAGAGGAAAUUGAUAAUUAUGCGAGGUCUGUUAAAUGAUCGUUGGCCAAGCACAUUUCAUUCCUUCAAAUGAGCUCGUGUCUACAGUUGUGGCAAUCGUUCACAGGCCAGGAAAGAAAACCAGCUCAGAUGAGGAUGGGCAUCACUUCCAAUAGGUCGUCGAGGUUCGAAGCACCUGGAAAGAAGUCAUCCGUUGGAGGCUGCAAACCAGAUUUAGUUGUAAUGUGAAUGAUUAGCCUAUAUUAACUCAUAAAUUAGAUACAUUAUCCUAAACUGCACUGAAUAAAUAUUGAGUAUGUAAGA
rnacentral:lncRNA from 1 species